CCUACGGGUGGCAGCAGUAGGGAAUAUUGCUCAAUGGGGGAAACCCUGAAGCAGCAACGCCGCGUGGAGGAUGAAGGUUUUCGGAUUGGAAACUCCUUUUUUUAGAGAAGUUAAUGACGGUAUCUAACGAAUAAGCACCGGCUAACUCCGUGCCAGCAGCCGCGGUAAUACGGAGGGUGCAAGCGUUACUCGGAAUCACUGGGCGUAAAGAGAGCGUAGGCGGGAUAGCAAGUCAGAUGUGAAAUCCUAUGGCUUAACCAUAGAACUGCAUUUGAAACUGUUAUUCUAGAGUAUGGGAGAGGUAGGUGGAAUUCGUGGUGUAGCGGUAAAAUCCGUAGAGAUCAAGAGGAAUACUGAUUGCGAAGGCGACCUGCUAGAACGUAACUGACGCUGAUGCGCGAAAGCGUGGGGAGCAAACAGGAUUAGAUACCCUAGUAGUC
rnacentral:rRNA from 1 species